AACGCGAAGAACCUUACCAAAUCUUGACAUCCCGAUGACAGACUGUGUAAAGCAGUUUCUCUUCGGAGCAUCGGUGACAGGUGGUGCAUGGUUGUCGUCAGCUCGUGUCGUGAGAUGUUGGGUUAAGUCCCGCAACGAGCGCAACCCUUGUCUUUAGUAGCCAGCAUUUAGGAUGGGCACUCUAGAGAGACUGCCAGGGAUAACCUGGAGGAAGGUGGGGAUGACGUCAAAUCAUCAUGCCCCUUAUGAUUUGGGCUACACACGUGCUACAAUGGCGUAAACAAAGAGAAGCAAAGGAGUGAUCCGGAGCAAAUCUCAAAAAUAACGUCUCAGUUCGGAUUGUAGUCUGCAACUCGACUACAUGAAGCUAGAAUCGCUAGUAAUCGCGAAUCAGAAUGUCGCGGUGAAUACGUUCCCGGGUCUUGUACACACGC
rnacentral:rRNA from 1 species